rnacentral:lncRNA from 1 species
AGUCUUGCAAAUGAGUUUUCAUCCAGAAACUCAAGAAACCCACUGGCUCGAAAUAUUCGGACAAUUUGUGAACGCCAUAUGAGGUAAUUAUCAGUAGACAGUUGAGAAGAUACCAGAAUGUGGAUUUUUGAUAAGACGAACUUGAGUUUUGGAGAUAAGAGGGGAUCAUCAUCGCCUCUUGUGGUAUCGUCUAUUCCUUCGGUGCUUGCUCGCCUGAUUCGGGUAGGAGGUCCUGAAUUCAUCUCUGGUUCUUCGUCUUCUUCAAUAUCAGGUAACGCUACCUCAAGAUGGAUUCAAGGCAUAUGAUGAUCAUCUAACCAGUUUUACUGAAAGUGAAAACCGGUGUUACUGAUUUUGCCAGAUGAAGAAAAGAAAAAAAAAUCAAGAAGACUCCAGAGAAUCUCCAUCUUCGUUGCAAAUCUUGGAAGCUAUGGUUUCAAAUCUAUAUGCAGGAACUUUGCUCUGAUACCAAGAUAGAAUUUGAGAAGAAAGAAUAGAAACAAAAACUAUUUUACAAAGAAGAUCUGGGAUGAAACUACAGUAACAGAGAAAACGGAAAGAAUGGAGUUAAUCACAAUAGUUCAGAAUUACAUUCAUUUAUAUAGUAAUGGCAUGUAUUCUGGAUUGUUCUAUGAUCCGGUUGAUCCAGCUGGAGUUGAUGUAGUCUGUCCAGCUGGGAAUGAAGCUGAAUCAGUUGAUCCUCUAACUGAUUCAGUUAAGUCAGUUUGCUUGAAGCUUCUAGAACUCAAUAAUACUCAGGCUAAUUUUAUUACUUAUUAUAUUUAUAUAUGGACUUACUCCCUUUCCCACGGAAACAAAAGUUGUAAUACUGUUGAGAUAAUAUAAUUAGAAAAGUUGUUUCUAAAGUUUCUAAUCCAACAAUCUGUCUAUCGUUAAGUUACUGUAGCCUCUUACAUUUUUUAGAAUAAUUAUUGUACACGUUAGCAAGCUUCACCUCUGCAUAAUUAUCGAAGUUCGAGUUGAAAAUUUUUCUUUUUCUUUCCGAGUCGGCCCUUUUUCCUUAUUUUUUAUUAAUCUUAUGAAAAUGCAUGGUGAAGUUUGUGAGUCAAAAUUUCGGCCAGUAGCUUAGCUAGAUGAGAAGAAUAUUUGCAACUUAUGGUAUGGAUGGUCUGAAAAACGUAAUAGAAAUGCAGCCAACCAAAAAGAAGUCCAAGUAUGCAACUAUAAGAUGGAUCCAGCUACUAAUUCUUGAUGCCCAUUUUGAAGGUCAAAAAGUUAGCUCAAGGGUUCAACUCCGCAUGGGUCCCUAAAGGAUUCUCCUAAUAUCAGACGGAACAUCUAGCCAUGAGAAAAUUUCUGCAAAUUUCAAAGUCAUUAAAGAUUUGUAGUGUAGAAUUGAAAUUUGACCUUUCAUGUUUCAAUGUCACAUCAUGCACAAGCGUGCCAUCUUGAGAACGACUAAUCGGCCAUUUUAUCUUAAAAACUUGUCCACAUUUGGAAAAAAUCAACAGGUCACCUAUUAGACAAUGCUAAUUUAGUGUUAGAAGAUAAGGUUCUCCCAUCCACAUCAUCUUGAUGAGUGGGUUAUAAGUAAUGCUUUCUGUAUCCGCAUCUAAAGUUGAUAAGAUAAAUUGAGUUCAAAUUCAGGUCAAUAAGUAAGCUUCAAACUCAUAUCCAAACUCGAUUAUUGAUCGGAUUUGAGUUUUUCCGAGUUUCAAUUUAGUACAUGAUUUUAAUGGGCCUACUAGCAAAAGCUUAACAAUUUUCAAAACAGGGAGAGCUCUUAUCACAGUAGGCUGCAGUACAUGCAGCAUCAAAGGAGUUAUGAGAAGUGAAUGGUGGGUUUAGAAAAAAAUUGAACUUAAAUUUCUACUUAUUUUUACUUUCAUUGGAACAAAAUUAAAAUCUAAACAUAGGUUGAGAUUUUGGAAUGACAAUAGCAACAAGCGUGAGUUAAGGAGAGCAUGUACGAAAAAAGAAGUAAAUUCGAAUAUGAAAAAAAAAUUACAUAUAUACCCUCUAAAAUAUAUAAAAUUAUAUGAAUACCAUCGUAAAAUUACUAUUUAUAUGUAUACCAUUAUAAAAUACUUAUUUUGCAUGUAUACCUUUUUUUUACUUUUUUUAUAUACGUACCUGAUGGGGGGCAAAAUGGAUCGUCCAACCCACAACUAAAAGGCCAUUCAGUUUCGGCCCAAUAAAAGUCAAUGCCAAUCGGUUGAAUCUUCACUUUGGCCCAGAAUCAGCUCGACUUCGGGACUCCGCCAAAAGCUACACCAACUUCAGAUAUUCACCGACUCCCCCGACCAAGUUUGGAGUGCCUCCAGUAUUCGACGACCCACCCCGACCAAACUCGGAGCGCCUACCCCAAUAGUAUGCCCCGACCAUCGAGCUCAGGGCACUCCACCGAGCACAUCUCAGAAUUCGGAAAGCCGAGCUACUCUUAGCACCCGUCAAGCUGACCUCGUCAAAACGCAUGAUGCGACUUUUCAACGAGCUCGGCCUCGCUAGCGAUCGCACCCAUGUGCGCGCCUACGCCCAUCUACGUGGCCGUACAUCACAACACUACUGUGCCACGUCUCCAUAGUCGACCUUCAAUAGUCAGACGACACCUUGACUACUCCGGCCAUACCCUGCUAUGACUGUCAACACCCUACCAUUCUCAAGAACGGGCAGUACUACACGCCACCAACCAGCCUGAGCUGCGCGUCGUCCGGCUUUGAGCCACGUGCCCUCAUGAUGAGGGUCGACAGUGCCUCUGCCACCUGGGCCUCUCCACUGAGACUAUAAAUAGCUUGAUCAAGUAACUUCUAAGGAACUUUUUUGGCGGGACCAAAUUUACCCUACUCUAACUUAAUCGUCGGAGGGCCUUCACCGGAAACACCGGUGAGGCUUUGUGCAGGUCCACGGCCGUCGCGCAGGAGGCGGCUUCCGUUUUUUCCUUCCAACUCCACCGGCGUGGUCACCCUCGGGCCAAAUUUGAACCACAACAGUACCCAUACUAUCUAACACCAUUAAAAAAUAAACGAUUUAAAAUUAAAAUGACUAAAAUACCCUUACAAGUAGACCUGCAAAAAGAAAAUUUUAUAUGGAUAUAUAUGCAAAUAGCAACUUUGCAUGGGUAUUCGUGCAAUUACACAUAUCUAAAAGGGUAUACACUUUUUGAAAAAAAUCAAUAAAAAAUAUCAAAAUCCAAUAAAGAAAAUUCAUUAAUAAAAAAAACAACAAAUAUUAAAUUAUGUUAAUAUCAACUCUUAUAGAAUAAAUCAUAUUGCUUUUACAAAAUUUUCGCCUAAAAAACAAACAACAACUUAGCAUCUAUAAAUCGCUAAAAAAAUGGGGAUUGAAUAGGGGAUUGGCAAAUUUUAAUCAAGUUUUACUUUUUAAAUAGGGGAUUGAAUACCCGGAUCGAAUCAGAGUUCACGCCGCCCGCCCUGAACAAAUAGGAUACUCUUAUAAAAAAUUGCACGAAUAUCCUCAUAAAGUUGCUAUUUGCAUGUAUACCCAUAUAACUUUUUUUUGCAUAUCUGCCCAUAAAGAUAUUUCAGUCAUUUUAAUUUUAAGCUAUUUAUUUUUUAACGACGUUAAAUGAUAUGUGCAAAAAAAAAAAAAGAAAGAGAAGAAUAUACAUGUAAAUAGUAAUUUUACGAGGAUAUUUAUACAAAUUUGUAUAUUUAGGUAGGUGUACAUGCAAAAAAUUUCAAAAAAAUCAUGUAGCUAAAUUUUUUUUAUAUUCCUAUGUUUACACUUAAUUUGAAUCCAUAUUUAAUUGUUGUAAAAUAAUCAUAUUAGAUUAUCUGAUUUUUAAAUGUCAUUACACCCCUAGUUAUAUGGUAUUCCAAUUGGUCGUUUAUUCUUUUCCCCAUUUUGUCUCCUAUCCAGAUUCCGGAGAAGGCGGCUUAGGUUUUAGGAAUGUAUACGGCAACCAGCUGCGAGAGGGAAAGAGAUAUAUGGCUAAUCUGACGGAAAAGUAAUCAAGUUACAACAAUAAAUACAACGACCUCUUGUCUGACCGUGACCAUGCAAGCAUUCUUUGAAUAAAUUUUAUACAUAACUCCAAGACCAACAAAGCAACGUGCACUUCACGUAUCUCUCUUACUGAAUCAUAAAUUAGUCAUCUUAUUCCUUCUCAAAGGUAAGAAUGAGAGAUUUUUUAGGAGGUAUAUAUGUUCUAGAGCUCCUAGAUAAGCGAGAUCAUUAAGAUUCUUUAGCCCAGCUCGUCUAAAUCUGUGACAAGGGCUACAAAUAAAUCAAACAGAGCUAAAAUUUGGGUUGGUGGACUUGGAUUAGACUUGUAUAAAGAGAGUAUACUAUAUGUAUUCAAACUUGACUUACGAGGUUAAGCUAGAACAGUUAUAAAUUUAUUUGUUUUUGAGAAAACUUGAGCUUAUAAUUAUGUUUGCAAGACAACUGAUCCUCAGUUUUGAAUCUUGAUCCAUUAACUUGUUGAGCCCUGAGAGAGAGCUUGGCUUUGAUAUAGUUUUCCAAUUUCAUAGAAUCAGACAUCCAAAUAAUAAGCCAAGAUCAAGUUCUUUUUAACAAUUAUCUCAAGGUGAACUUCGACGACAAUGUUGGCGAGGGAGGGUAUACUGGAGGUGUGGGCUUCGUCAUCAGGGAUUGCAGGGGCUAGACUGGUUACGGCGGAGGGCUGACGGAUUUUCGACACGUCUGUGGUCUGUGCUAAACUUAAUGCUGCAUGGAAGGAAGUUACCUAUGCGAGGCAGAUACUAGGAGUGGAUUGUAUUAUGCUCGAGAGAGACUCACUUGGCCACAAUGAUAAAGUGGAAACGGGGCCGGGGUCUCGACGCGAAUUCGAGCCUCCUGCUACGCGAUAUUCACAGAUUCUUAGAUGAGGAUGGUCUCUCGUGGGCCACAUAUGUCUACAAGAAGGCGAAUAGCGCGGCUGACUGGGUGGUCUCAUUUGCAGCCCACCACUUUGGAGGCUUCACCUGGGGCGACCAUGCGUCAGUGCCUCAUUUCUUGUGUUAUCUUCUUUUUUCUGAUUUUAUUGGCUGCACCCAUGCCCAAUGAGUGUGAGCUGCCGUUGUAUAAAAAAAAAAUUGUAUCCUAAAUGUCAAUCGUCAGCAUGUUGAUGAUUAAAUGAAUUGACAAAUCAAUAAAGUAUUUUUUGGCAUUAUUCAUCAUUUUACAUCUUCAAAUGAACUCUUAUAUGAUGAAGUCCUUAGGACUUAUUAAUGAUAAAGGAGGAUUUAUCUUCGAGUCCUUAAACUAGUUCGCGAUCAAAUGAUAUGUUGUUACAAGGACGACAGCAUUAUCAAGAUUAGGUCGUUGUGUGACAUAUACGUUGGUUGUUCUCUUAACCAAGAAGUGUGGAGACACUGGUAUGCCACACAGGUGAAGUGUAGGAGUACAUUUCACUGAACGUGACCAAUUCCGGAACGCUCUACUGUCAAGAGAUGUUCCGAGUGGAUAUGGGUAUAAGUUUGGCCCUCUGACCUGAUAUCGCAACCUAUGACUAGCAAGCAACUCACUGUACUUUGGUACCGGACUAUCUGAAUUUCUAAUUCAGUGACGGAAGGUCACUGGGUGCAGUCAAGUACUUGCGUAGUCAGUUGUGAGUCGAGAUGGAAUUGACGCCUCCUGGAAACAGAAGAUAAUGUUUUGUGAUUAAUUUAGCAAAACCUUGGCCAGGGUAAUCCCAGUGAGGAGUCACGGGAUAUCUAAAGUUAAUCACAUAAUGGAUGUACUAAUUAUAGGGUUGACAGUGAGCUCUAAGUCAUCCUGGCAUUAGGAGUUAAAGAGAUUGAAUUAUACAGUAACCAUAGUCCAGGGUUCCAGAAUAUUUGCUUCGCAUAUAUUCGGCCUAUCCGGACAUCGGGUACCAUUGCUAGAUGGUCACAUCGAUUAGGAAGACGUUCCUAUACUACCGGCUUAGGUUCGAACCUAUGAGGUCACACGCAUAGAAGUUUCUAGGUUGAUCAAAUGGCUGAUCGAUGAUUAAGAAUCAUUCAGGGGUAAUUUGGUCAAUUCGAUUGAUAAAUUAUCCUAAGCAAAAGUUGCAUUAAAAUAAUUAUUGAAUUAUUUGAGGAUUAAUUAGCAAUUAGAUUGCUAAUGAACUCAAUUUGAUUGAGUAAUUAAGCUUAGGUUGAGCAAAAUUGAAUAGGAUUCAAUUUGGGCUGCAUCAGGGUUUGACCUAAUUGGAUUGGGUUCAACCCAAGUAGAUUGAGGUUGACCCAAUUGAUGGGACUUGAUCCAAUUGGAUUGGGCUUGAUCCAAAUCAAUUAGAAGACCUUAUUUGAUGAGGAUUAUGAGUUCAAAUAAUCAGAAUUGGAUAAGGAGAAGAAUCCCUAAAUUUUAGGAACCCAUCCUUAUCUUCUUGGAGAAGAAUGACACCUUAAUUUAUCCCCAAUAUUUUCUAUGCCUAUCCUCUUUAUUUUUGGCCAAAAAUUGGCGUAAGAAGAGAGGAGGCGUGGGGCUAUAUUUUCUAUAAAAAUGGCGCCUUAAAUCUUUCUAGAAAGAUUUAGAUGAAUUUCCUAAUUUGUAGGAAUUGCAUGGUGCAUGAAAUAGGGUGGUCUGCGGCUAAACUUUGGACGCAUGAAUUCCUAUCUUUUAGGGAUUCAAAAUGCACAAAAUUUGGAUANNNNNNNNNNNNNNNNNNNNNNNNNNNNNNNNNNNNNNNNNNNNNCCUAGUCUUGAAUACGAGAUGGUCCAACAGAUAAAAACGCUUGAGAUUGAUGUUGAUUUGUUGCUAGACGAUGAGGCUGAUGCACAUAUUCUUGAUUCAGACUAUUGGUUUGUAAUGAAUUAACUCUCUUGUAUCUGAAGUCAGUUUUGAACCAGCAAUUGGCUGUUGUGUGUCCACGUUUAUAGCAGAUUUGACAUUCAGGUAGAGGUUGCAGAUCUCUUGUUCUACUGGUUGAUGACCCUGUAACAGGGAAUUGAAAAAAUCUGCCUCUACCUCAACUUCUAUUGAAGAAGGUUCUGCCUCUGCCUCGGCCUCUUAUAGCAGAUAAUGCAUAUGCUGGAUCUGAUGCAGCUGAGGGGUGAUUUUUAUUGUUUAUGAUAAGUUCUUCGCUACUGAGCAGAGCAUAGAGCUCAUCUAACGAUAUGUUAGAUGCUCUAGUGCGAAUGGCAGUGCUAAAGGAGUCAUAUGACUUAGGCAAACCAUUCAAGAUGUGUAAGAUCACAUCCUCUGGAUCUGGAACAGAACCGGCAGCUGAAAGGGCAUCUACCUUGGAUCUAAUUGAAUGGAGGUACUGAUGCAUUGGUAAAUCAUUUUUUCUGAUGUUAGACAGCUCGUUCUUGAGCUGAAUAAUAUGACUCCUAAUAGAGGAGUUGAGCCUCCGAUCUAAUGUCGACCAUAUUUGGUGAGUAUGUUCAAGAUUAAUGAUGUAGGGGAGAAUGGCAGAUGAUAUCGUUGAUGUCAAUGCCGUGGCCAACAAUUGAUCAGUCAGUAAGCUAUUUUGGUAAUCAGAUGCAGUAGGAUCAUCUGAUGUGAGUCUUGAAAAUGAGUUUUCAUCCAGAAACUCAAGAAACCCACUGGCUCGAAAUAUUCGGACAAUUUAUGAACGCCAUAUGAGGUAAUUAUCAGUAGACAGUUGAGAAGAUACCAGAAUGUGGAUUUUUGAUAAGACGAACUUGAGUUUUGGAGAUAAGAGGCGAUCAUCAUCGCCUCUUGUGGUAUCGUCUAUUCCUUCGGUGCUUGCUUGCCUGAUUUGGGUAGGAGGUCCUGAAUUCAUCUCUGGUUCUUCGUCUUCUUUAAUAUCAGGUAACGCUACCUCAAGAUGGAUUCGAGGCAUAUGAUGAUCAUCUAACCAGUUUUACUGAAAGUGAAAACCGGUGUUACUGAUUUUGCCAGAUGAAGAAAAAA